rnacentral:rRNA from 1 species
UACGUAGGGGGCAAGCGUUGUCCGGAUUCAUUGGGCGUAAAGAGCGUGUAGGCGGCCAUACAGGUCAGCUGUGAAAACUCGAGGCUCAACCUCGAGACGUCGGUUGAAACCGUAUGGCUAGAGUCCGGGAGAGGAGAGUGGAAUUCCCGGUGUAGCGGUGAAAUGCGCAGAUAUCGGGAAGAACACCCGUGGCGAAGGCGGCUCUCUGGGACGGUACUGACGCUGAGACGCGAAAGCGUGGGGAGCGAACAGG